GCCAGAGUAGUGGAAUGGUUUGAACGUUGGUCUAGGACUCUGGGGAAUGGGGUUCAAAUCCCCACUUGGCCA